rnacentral:rRNA from 1 species
UACGUAGGGUGCGAGCGUUAAUCGGCAUUACGGGGCGUAAAGCGUGCGCAGGCGGAUCGCUAAGACAGAUGUGAAAUCCCCGGGCUCAACCUGGGAACUGCGUUUGUGACUGGCGGGCUGGAGUGGGGAAGAGGGAGGUGGAAUUUCACGUGUAGCAGUGAAAUGCGUAGAGAUGUGGAGGAACACCGAUGGGGAAGGCAGCCUCCUGGUGUAACACUGCAGGUCAUGCACGAAAGCGUGGGGAGCAAAUAGG